GCCAGUGGCGCAGUGGUGAACACGGUUGUCUCAUGAACAGCGUGGCCCUGGUUCCAGUCCAGGCAUUGGUG